CCCUUAGACGUUCUGGGCCGCACGCGCGCUACACUGACCGGUGCAACAAGCAUCCGUCCUUGGCCGACAGGCCCGGGCAAUCUUUGAACGCCGGUCGUGAUGGGGAUAGACUUUUGCAAUUUUUGGUCUUCAACGAGGAAUUCCUAGUAAACGCAAGUCAUCAACUUGCAUUGAUUACGUCCCUGCCCUUUGUACACACCGCCCGUCGCACCUACCGAUUGAAUGGUCCGGUGAAGCGUUCGGACCGUGGCCUUUGGACGGUUCGCCGUCUGUUGGCUGCGGGAAGUUCGUUAAACCUUAUCAUUUAGAGGAAGGAGAAGUCGUAACA
rnacentral:rRNA from 1 species